AAAGUGGUCCGCGCAUGCGCUGUUGGAAGUUGCGAUCCAUGCGAGAGGUUGGUGAGAAUCAUCAGGAGGAAGAUGAAGCGAGUAUUUACCAUUUCAGAGAAGGUAGUUGCAGGUAAUCUUUUACAAUACCGCUGGCAGAAAACGUUGGGUAACUACAUAGCUGUCACUGGGUCUGAUCACACAGUGAAGAUCUUUGACCGACAUGGGCACAAAAGGAAUGAACUUAAUCUUCCAGGAAUUUGUAUUUCUAUGGAUUGGGAUAAAGAUGGAGACACCUUGGCUAUAAUUGCAGACAAAUCAAAUACCAUCUAUCUAUGGGAUGCAAACACUCACAGAACAUCACAGUUGGACAGUGGUAUGAGGGACCAGAUGUCAUUUCUGCUAUGGUCAAAAGCAGGAUCACAACUUGCUGUUGGAACAACCAAAGGAAAUCUGCUUAUUUAUAACUUACAGACUUCCCGUAAAGUCCCAGUCCUUGGAAAACAUACAAAACGCAUCACUUGUGGUUGCUGGAGUUCCCAGAAUCUGCUUGCAUUAGGUGGUGAAGACAAAGCAAUAACUGUUAGCAAUCAGGAUGGCGAUACCAUUAGGCAGACCGUAGUGAGAGCAGAGCCAAGUGACAUUCAAUUCUCUGUGAUGAAGACUGAUGAACGGGCAUCAAUGGGAGAAAGCACGGUCAGUGUCGUUGUGGGGAAGAAAACACUAUUCCUGUUUAAUUUAGGCGAUCCUGAUAACCCUGUUGAAUUAGCAUUCCAGCAACGUUAUGGCAACAUUAUAUCUUACAGAUGGUUUGGAGAUGGGUACAUCAUGAUUGGCUUUUCUCAAGGUUACUUCGUAGUAAUUUCAACGCACAUUCGUGAGAUUGGCCAAGAACUAUUCCAAGCCCAUAAUCAUAAAGACAGUUUGACAAGUAUUGCCAUCUCUCAAUCCCUGAACAAAGCUGCUUCCUGUGGAGACAACUGCAUUAAGAUCCAUGAUCUGUCAGAAAUGAAAGAGAUGUAUGCUAUUGUAAACCUGGAUGAUGAAACCAAAGGUCUGGAUCAGCUAUCUUGGACAGAUGAUGGACAGUUGCUUGCUGUAUCUACACAGCGUGGAACACUACAUGUUUUCCUCACAAAACUUCCAGUUAUUGGAGAUACUUGUGGUACCCGCAUUGCGUUCUUGACAUCUCUGCUGGAGGUCACAGUGGUCAAUCAUGUAGAGGGAGAACCAGAAACCACAGUUUCUGUUGAAGUAGAGCCUAACUUUAUCGCUGUAGGCCCAUAUCACGUGGCUGUUGGUAUGAAUAAUCGUGCUUGGUUUUAUGCCCUUGGAGAGAAACGAGUGGAGAAGCUAAAGGACAUGGAGUAUUUGGGUACUGUAACUAAUAUGUGCUUAAAUUCAGACUAUGCAGCAGUGCUUUUUGAGGGAAGAGUUCAGCUACACAUGAUCAGUUCCAGCUUCGAUUCUAUGCUCCCAGUUAUGCAGCAGAUUGAAAUGGAAGGUAUAGAAGCACAGGAGGAAAGAGAAACUCGUCUUUUUCCUGGACGUGAUGAUAAGUACCGAGUUACAUGCCAUGCGCUUGCUGCUGACUUCUUAAUCUAUGGAACAGAUAGUGGCAUCAUUCAGUAUUUCUAUAUUGAGGACUGGCAAUAUGUGAAUGAAUAUCGACAUACAGUCAGUAUCCGUAAAGUUUUCCCUGAUCCCAGUGGAACCAGAAUAGCAUUCAUUGAUGACAAGAGUGAUGGCUUUGUCUAUUGCCCAGUAAAUGAUAGCGUAUAUGAGAUCCCAAAUUUUCCCACAACUGUAAGAAGCAUCCUCUGGGAACACUUCACAAUGGAUAAAGGAGUCUUUAUUGCUUAUGAUGAUGAUAAGGUGUAUACCUACGUCUUUCACAAGGGCACUAUUCAAGGUUCCAAGGUCAUAUUGGCAGGUGCUACUAAACUUCCAUUUUCUUAUAAGCCACUGUUGUUAUAUAAUGGAGAAUUAACCUGUCAGAUGCAGAGUGGGAAAAUCAACACUAUGCUCUUAAGCACACAUUCUUUUCUUGGUGGAUUGAAAGACCUUGGAGUUAAUGACCUUCAAUCAGCUUUAACCCAGAGUUUAAUGCUGAAAAGGUUUACUGAAGCAUGGAGUGUGUGCAAAAUAAUUAAUGAUCCUCCAGCAUGGACCGAGCUAGCACGUGCCUGCCUCCACCACAUGGAGGUGGAUUUUGCAAUACGUGUAUAUCGAAUAAUUGGAAAUGUAGGAAUGGUAAUGUCAUUGGAAGAGAUCAAGGGAAUAGAAGAUCACAACCUACUGGCUGGACAUCUUGCAAUGUUUGCAAACGAAUUUAAUCUAGCACAAGAUCUGUAUCUGGCCUCCAGUUGUCCAAUUGCUGCCCUAGAGAUGCGGAGAGACUUACAACAUUGGGACAGUGCUUUGCAGUUAGCAAAACGAUUGGCUCCUGAUCAAAUUCCAUUUAUCUCCAAAGAAUAUGCUAUUCAACUGGAAUUCACGGGCGACUAUGUCAAUGCAUUGGCACAUUAUGAGAAAGGCAUGACUGGAGACAAUAAGUACCUUGACCAUGACGAAACUUGUUCAGCUGGAAUUGCAAGAAUGUCAAUACGUAUGGGGGAUAUUCGACGUGGAGUCAACCAGGCAAUCAGACACCCCAGCAGAAUUUUGAAGAAAGACUGUGGUGUUAUUCUAGAGAGCAUGAAGCAAUUCUCUGAGGCUGCUCAAUUAUAUGAAAAAGGACAGUACUAUGAAAAGGCUGCAUCUGUUUACAUUCGUUGUAAAAAUUGGGCAAAAGUUGGUGAACUUCUCCCCCAUGUAACAUCUCCUAAGAUACACUUGCAGUAUGCAAAAGCUAAAGAAGCUGAUGGCAGAUAUAAAGAAGCUGCAACAGCUUAUGAAAAUGCCAAAGACUGGGACAAUGUAAUUCGAAUUCAGUUGGAUCAUCUCAGCAAUCCAGAAGAAGCUGUUCGUAUCAUCCGUGAAACCCAGUCAAUUGAUGGAGCCAAAAUGGUAGCUAGGUUCUUCCUACAUCUUGGGGACUAUGGCUCUGCCAUCCAGUUCCUGGUGAUAUCUAAAUGUAAUGAUGAAGCCUUUCGCCUUGCACAGCAACAUAAUCAAAUGGAAGUUUAUGCAGACAUCAUUGGUCCUGAUGCCAGUAAUGAAGACUAUCAGAGUAUUGCAUUGUAUUUUGAAGGUGAAAAGAAACAAUUCCUUGCUGGAAAAUUCUUCAUGCUUUGUGGCCAGUAUGCACGAGCAUUGAAACACUUGUUGAAAUGUCCAGUGUGUGAAGAUGGCCAAGCCAUUGAGAUGGCUAUUGAAGCAGUUGGACAAGCCAAGGAUGAAGUUCUAACUAAUCAACUGAUAGAUUAUUUAAUGGGCGAAAGUGACGGAAUGCCAAAGGAUGCAAAGUAUCUUUUCCGCCUGUAUAUGGCAUUAAAGCACUAUCAGGAGGCAGCCAGAACAGCAAUAAUCAUUGCCAGAGAAGAACAAUGUGCAGGAAAUUAUAGGAAUGCACAUGAUGUGCUCUUUAGUAUGUACACAGAGCUUAAAGCACAGAAGAUCAAAAUCCCUUCAGAAAUGGUAACAAACCUUAUGAUUCUGCACAGCUACAUCCUGGUAAAGGUAGGAGACCAAAACCCAUGUAUGAAUGAUUUAUGCCUUAUGACCUUGAUAUUACAUGUUUACUGGACACUGUUGGUUUGAAAAUAUCCACGUGCUUACUAUCCCAAAUCAGUCAUUUCUAAUGUUUUGUGCUCUUAUAUUUAACAUACACUGGGUACAGCAGCUUUUAGUAUCUCCUUGGUCUUUUUUAAACAAUUCCAUUAGUUUCAAACUAAAUAUGCAAAAAGAUAGGUCAGGUCCACAGGUUGAGAUUCUAAAUUGGAGAAAGGUCAAUUUUGAUGGCAUCAGAAUUGAUCUGGCAAGUGUGGAUUGGAACAGGCUGUUCUCUGGUAAAGGUGUACUUAGAAAGUGGGGAGCUUUCAAAAACAAAAUUUUGAGAAUACAAAGCUUGUAAGUGCCUGUUAGACUAAAAAAGUAAAGAUAACAAGUGUAGGGAAUCUUGGUUUUCAAGGAAUAUUGAGGCCCUGGUUAAGGGAAAAAAAGGUGCAUUGCAGAUAUAGGCAAGUAGGAACAAAGGAGGUGCUAUUGGAGUAUAAGAAAUGCAAGAGAACACUUAAGAAAGAAAUGAGUAAGGCUAGAAGAAGGCAUUAAGUUGUUCUAGCAGACAAGGUGAAGGGUUUGCAAGGUACAUGAUUGGUCCUCUGGAAGACCAGAAUGGUAAUCCAUGUAUGGAACCAAAACAGAUGGGGGAGACUUAAAUGAUGUUGGUGAGGUAGUAAUGAGGGACAAAGAAAUAGCAGAUGAACUUGGGGGGGGGGGGGGGGUUCAUUGUGGAAGACACUAGCAGUGUGCCAGAGAUCCGUGAGUGUCAGAGAGCAGGAGUGACGUUAAUGAGGCCUAAUUUGGAGUAUUGUAUGCAGCUUUGGACAACUGUCUACAGGAAAGAUGCAAGGUUGAAAGAGUACAGAGAAAAUAUACAAGAAUGUUGCUGGGUCUGGAGGUCCUGAGUUAUAAGAAAAGAUUGAAUAGGUUAGGACUGUAUUCUUUAGAAAGUAGAAUAUUGAGAGGAGAUUUGGUUGAGGUAUACAAAAUUAUGAGGAAUAUAGAUCAGCUAAGAGCAAGCAGGCUUUUCCCCACAGAGGUUGGGUGAAGCUACAGCAGAGAUCAUGGCUUAAGGGUACAAGGUGAGAAGUUUAAGGAGCACAUGAGGGGAAACUCAGAGGGGCAUGAGAGUAUGGAAUGAGCUGCCAGCACAAGUGGUCCAUGCAGGAUCGAUUUCAACAUUUAAGAAAAGAUUGGAUAGGCAUAGGGAUAUGGAAUGCAGAUCGAUGGGAGGAGACAAUUUAGAUGGUUUCAGCAUGGACUAGAUGGGCCAAAGGCCUGCUUCUAUGUUGUACUUCUCUAAUCCACCAGCCCCAAAAGAAUAUCAUUGACAAGGCCAGUAUUUAAUGUUCACCUGUAAUUGCCCUUCAAAGAGUAGUGGUAUUAUGCUGUUAACUGUUAGACCAAUUGCCCCAAUAAUAGAACAAUCGACAAGCCUUCAAAUUACUCAAUAAUAUCAAAAAUGAACACAGUUGAGAAUAAAGUGAUACAACUCUUCUAUUGUGCUUAACUGUCCCAGAGUAUGUUACGUGAAUAUUUUUCCCCCUCAGCGAAGGAGAAAAAAUGCAGCGGAAAUUGUGCUCUCUAGUGGCCACACAAUUGAAAAGCAUAGUCAAAACAGUCAUUGAAGUAGAUGAAUUAGGAAAACUAAAACUCACGUGAAGCGUGGGGACCAUAUGAAAGGGGCAAGGAUGCUCAUUAGAGUUGCAAACAACAUCAGCAAGUUUCCAUCUCAUAUCGUACCCAUUCUGACAUCAACAGUAAUUGAAUGCCACCGAGCAGGAUUGAGG